rnacentral:rRNA from 1 species
CCUACGGGAGGCAGCAGUGAGGAAUAUUGGUCAAUGGAUGGAAGUCUGAACCAGCCAUGCCGCGUGCAGGUAGACGCCCCUAUGAGUUGUAAACUGCUUUUGUACAAGGGUAAACCUGAAUACGUGUAUUCAGCUGAAAUUACUGUACGAAUAAGGUUCGGUUAAUCCGGUGCCGGAAGCCCCGGUAAUACGGAGGUUCCAAGCGUUAUCCGGAUUUAUUGGGUUUAAAGGGUGCGUAGGCGGAUUGAUAAGUUAGAGUUGAAUUGUCCGACCUUAAGGCGUGAACUGCCUCUAAUACUGUUGAUCUAGAGAGUAGAUGCGGUAGGAGGAAUGUAUGGUGUAGCGGUGAAAUGCUUAGAGAUCAUACAGAACACCGAUUGCGAAGGCAGCUUACCAAUCUAUGUCUGACGUUGAUGCACGAAAGCGUGGGUAGCAAACAGGAUUAGAUACCCCAGUAGUC